UUAACCCAAAAACCUAAAUCUCUCACCCCGCACGUCUCUCUUCUUUCCCUUUGUCUAUCGCGCACGCCCGCAGCUAGCUGCCAGCUGCGCACCCGCCGCCACCCCGCGCCCGCCCCACCGCGCGUCGGCUCGCGCGCCGCCACCCAGUGCGGCCCCGCCGCCCCACCGUUAAGGCAGGUUAUGCGGCCGACAAGGGGGCGGCGUCCGGGAACCCAUAGAGUCACGUCGUGCUGGGGAGGCAUAGGAUUCGGAUCCGGCCGUGGCCGCACCCGGACCUCGUCGAGGUGAUGCGGGCGCACCGGAUCAUGGAGUGCGUGCAGGAGGAACAGCGCCGCUGGUACGGUGUCAAGGAGCCGAGGCAGGUGCUCGCUGUCACCCCGACCUACUCACGCGCGUUCCAGGCGCUCCACCUCAUCGGCCUCCUCCACUCACUCCGUCGAAAUCCUUGCGCAUACUGGCACGGUAGACCAACUACGGCUCAGCGAGGAGGACAAGCAGAAUAUGCCUCUUCCAGUCCAUGGCCCUGCUUGCAACUCCUCAGGGCAUCUGAUUGGAUGGCACACGUUCAACUCAUUGCCCUUCUCUGGGAAGACGGCCACAGUUGUUGGUGAAGCAACCCCUGUUCUGCCUAGGGAUUUGGAGUGGGCUGGUUUUGUGUUGAACUCGAGGAUGCUGUGGAAGGAGGCUGACAGCAAGCCUGACUGGGUGAAGGAUCUUGAUGCUGUGGGUGAGAACUUUGAGGAGCGCUGGUUAAAGGCAUCAAAGCGCAGUGCCGCUAAGAAACUGUCAAAAUUGUCGAGGUCGCAUAAUGAGUCGUUGUUGUGGAUCAAGAAGAUACCUGAUAUUAUUGCUAUUGACGACGAGAUCUAUUCAAAUGAUGAUGAUCCAGAGAGAUGGGACAUGCAGAUUUUCCGAUCAAUUGAUUCGAAUUCUGUCAAGGGUUUUCCAAAAGAUCCACGGGAGGCCACUAGUAAGAAUCUUGUUUUUGGGAAAAAUGUACUGAUUGAUAUGAGCGUGCAUACAGCAUAUGUGAAUGUCAUCCGAGGUGCUCAACAUUUCAUCUAUAUUGAGAACCAGUACUUCCUUGGCUCUUCAUUUAACUGGGAUUCACAUAGAGAUGUUGGAAUGUGAAGUACAGUACAUUGCAAGUGCUAAUAAUCUGAUACCCAUUGAGAUAGCACUGAAAAUUGCAAACAAGAUUUAUUCGAAUGAGAGAUUUUCAGCUUAUAUAGUAGUUCCAAUGUGGCCUGAGGGCAAUCCUACUGGAACUCUUACGCAAAGGAUUCUUUAUUGGCAGAAAAUGACAAUGCAAAUGAUGUAUGAGAUAAUCUAUAAGGCCUUGAAAGAAGUAGGACUAGAUGGUACAUAUGAGCCACAGGAUUACCUGAAUUUCUUCUGCCUUGGUAACCGUGAAGCUGAGGACACUACUUGCACAUCUAGUGGACCAUUCUCAGCCAGUAACCCACAGGACCAAGCUCGGAAGAAUAGGAGAUUCAUGGUGUAUGUGCACUCGAAAGGCAUGAUUGUGGAUGAUGAAUAUGUGAUAAUUGGAUCCGCUAACAUCAACCAGAGAUCCAUGGAAGGAACUAGAGAUACAGAGAUUGCAAUGGCUGCAUACCAACCCCAGCAUACAUGGGCAAAUAUGCUUUCUGCUCCUCGUGGACAGAUUUUCGGGUACAGGAAAAUACAGUGUACGUGUUGAAACUGUUAUCCUGCCCCAGGUUGGGAUGGACGGCGGUACAUACGUGUUGGUAGAACUGUGAGAAGAAAAGAUGGGAAAAUUUGCUUUCUUGGCUGCGAUGGUUAUCUGCUCAAACAAGAUAUGCAAAUUGCAAAACUCUUAAAGGAUAGUAUUAGUUCUAUUUGUUCAUACAGUUCUACAGCUAGUUGUUUCUUGCUUUGUUCAUGGAUUGCAAUACUGGAUAAGAUCAUGAUGGAUGUCGUGUGUGUUUUAAUCACCAUUUCUAAAAUUUAUUCUAUUGGUAAGACGAUUCUAAGAUAUAGGUCGGAGUUGGAUUCCUUGCAUAUACAUAAACAGAUAAAGAAGCAACCGGUUUAUAACAAAAAUAUGUCUUCUGUUUUGCCUGUUGCCCAAUUCUCUUUUAGUGUAGCCUACUUACAAUAAUUAAAAGAAGAGUUGGUGUCUGUUUGAGUAGACAGCUAAGUGCAUAUAUAAGUACGUGCAUGAUUUUGAUUACUAAUUGUGAUUUUGAUGAUCUUUCUUUUGAAGACGGUCUAACAUAUAAGCGCAUGAUUUAGAUGAACGGAAUUACUAUUGUGCCAUUUCUGAAGAAUCUUACUAUUUUCUCUUGCCUUCUUAGAACAACAUGGGAAGAAGUGAUGAUGACAGUCCAUCGCCGCCAAGAGGUCACAUGAGAAGAACUCGCAGCCCAAGUCCUUGUGGUAGUUAUGGAGGCCAUGGCAAGCGCCCCACAACUAAUCUUAUGGUGACGAAUCUUGGUCCAGAUUGUAGGAUUCCGACUCUCAUCAAGUGACUCCUCCCCUCACGAUGACUUUGCGGACAGAUGUCUCAAUUAUAGUGGUGGAGCUACGAACAACAAUCCGAUGUCCUGAUCGAGAGCGAUGGAGCUAAUGUUUGAACUUGUGUGUUUGAACUUGUGAACUAAAAAUGUGAACUAUGGAUGUGAACUUAUGUGAAUUUGUGAACUUAUGUAUUUGAACUUAUGUGAAUUUGUGAACUUAUGUAUUUGGACUUGUGUGAAUUUGUGAUAUGAAUAUAUAUCCAUGUGUUUGAAAUCUGUAUUGUAUGUGAUAUUCUGUGUUGCAUG